rnacentral:rRNA from 1 species
AUUGAACGCUGGCGGCAGGCUUAACACAUGCAAGUCGAGCGGAGUGAUGGUGCUUGCACUAUCACUUAGCGGCGGACGGGUGAGUAAUGCUAGGAAUCUGCCAUUUAGUGGGGGACAACAUUCCGAAAGGAAUGCUAAUACCGCAUACGUCCUACGGGAGAAAGCAGGGGAUCUUCGGACCUUGCGCUAAAUGAUGAGCCUAAGUCGGAUUAGCUAGUUGGUGGGGUAAAGGCCUACCAAGGCAACGAUCUGUAGCGGGUCUGAGAGGAUGAUCCGCCACACUGGGACUGAGACACGGCCCAGACUCCUACGGGAGGCAGCAGUGGGGAAUAUUGGACAAUGGGCGGAAGCCUGAUCCAGCCAUGCCGCGUGUGUGAAGAAGGCCUUUUGGUUGUAAAGCACUUAAGCGAGGAGGAGGCUACUAGUACUAAUACUACUGGAUAGUGGACGUUACUCGCAGAAUAAGCACCGGCUAACUCUGUGCCAGCCGCCGCAGUAAUAC